UUUCCGUAGGUGAACCUGCGGAAGGAUCAUUAUUGAAUAAACUUGGUUAGGUUGUUGCUGGCUCUUAGGAGCAUGUGCACGCCGACUCCAUUUUUAACCACCUGUGCACCUUGCGUAGAUCUGAUACUCUCGAGGCAACUCGGUUUGAGAAUUGCUGUGCAAUAAAAGGCCAGCUCUUCUUGUAUUCAGGUCUAUGUUUCUACAUACCCCACAUGAAUGUAUUUUGAAUGUCGUCAUUGGCCUUGUGCCUUUAAAAACAAAUACAACUUUCAACAACGGAUCUCUUGGCUCUC
rnacentral:misc_RNA from 1 species